rnacentral:rRNA from 1 species
AUGCAAGUCGAACGGUAGCACAGAGAGCUUGCUCUCGGGUGACGAGUGGCGGACGGGUGAGUAAUGUCUGGGAAACUGCCUGAUGGAGGGGGAUAACUACUGGAAACGGUAGCUAAUACCGCAUAGCGUCGCAAGACCAAAGAGGGGGACCUUCGGGCCUCUUGCCAUCAGAUGUGCCCAGAUGGGAUUAGCUAGUAGGUGGGGUAACGGCUCACCUAGGCGACGAUCCCUAGCUGGUCUGAGAGGAUGACCAGCCACACUGGAACUGAGACACGGUCCAGACUCCUACGGGAGGCAGCAGUGGGGAAUAUUGCACAAUGGGCGCAAGCCUGAUGCAGCCAUGCCGCGUGUAUGAAGAAGGCCUUCGGGUUGUAAAGUACUUUCAGCGGGG